UACGUAGGGGGCUAGCGUUGUCCGGAAUCAUUGGGCGUAAAGAGCGUGUAGGCGGUCCGGUAAGUCCGCUGUGAAAGUCGGGGGCUCAACCCUCGAAUGCCGGUGGAUACUGUCGGGCUAGAGUGCGGAAGAGGCGAGUGGAAUUCCUGGUGUAGCGGUGAAAUGCGCAGAUAUCAGGAAGAACACCAAUGGCGAAAGCAGCUUUCUGGGACGUAACUGACGCUGAGACGCGAAAGCGUGGGGAGCAAACAGG
rnacentral:rRNA from 1 species